CUGCAUUUAUUAAUGUCUUAUAUCUGGUUACAUUACACUGUUUUCAGAAACACCAGAGCUCAAGACACCAUGCCUAACCCUGACGAUAAAGACAAAGAGUCUGAGAAGGACAAGGGUACCGACACAAACCCUCCGGCUCCCAAACCGGAUCCGCCACCGGCCGAACCGUCGGGGAGAAGGAACCCUCAGUAGCGCCCCUGCUCCUACCAGGGACGCCGUUGCUCCUAGAGCUUUUGAGUGGAGGCUGUAGAGCACAGAAGAACUUGAUGUGAAUUUGUUAGUAUCUGUUAUUUUGGGUGUGCUACAUGAAAGUCAAGUUCCAUGCAUUUCGUGACAACUGGUAGCAACUAGCCUACAUGUAAGUGGCCUGGCUGAUAAUUCAGCACGAGACACACAACGUGACCAAGAUGUAGUCAAAACACCAUAGCGAGAAUUGUCAAAACACACGUACUUCCCCUAACUUACUUCAUAUCUGUAUUAAAGUCAGAUCAGCGGUGGUCAAACCAACAUCGAUAUUACGUUUAAAUUCGCUACAUGAAAACGCUAUAUCAGCUAUGUCAGCCACAUAAGAACAACAAGUGUACAAGUGUACAACAAGUGUACAUUGCGUAUAAACAACACGACUCUAGACAGGAUCAGGUUGGUCACCCUUCACAGCCGGCCACAAGUAACAUCAUUAUAAUGGUAGUACCAUGAUGCUAGAAUAAAGACAUGGACUUGCUUCUGUCUCGA